UACGUAGGGUGCAAGCGUUGUUCGGAAUUACUGGGCGUAAAGCGCGCGUAGGCGGGCUUGAAAGUCGAUUGUGAAAGCCCUGGGCUUAACCUGGGAAUUGCAGUCGAAACUACAAGUCUUGAGUGCCUGAGAGGAUGGCGGAAUUCCCGGUGUAGAAGUGAAAUUCGUAGAUAUCGGGAAGAACACCUGAGGCGAAGGCGGCUAUCUGGCGGUGCACUGACGCUAAGGCGCGAAAGCGUGGGGAGCAAACAGG
rnacentral:misc_RNA from 1 species